rnacentral:sRNA from 1 species
AAGGCUGGGGCCUUCGAGUACAAGUGUGGGAGGCAGAGUGGGGAGGGACACCCCGAUCCAUGGCCUGGGUUGGCCUCAUUGGCUGUCCCUGAAAUGCUGAGGAGGUGGGUUACUUCCCUCCGGCCCAGGCCAGACCCAGGCAGCUGCUCCCCAGCUUUCAUGAGCUUCUUUCUCAGAUUCAAACAGACAGAGAAGAAUAUGGCCCAUUCUGUGGGAAGACAUUGCCCCACAGGAUUGAAACAAAAAGCAACACGAUGACCAUCACCUUUGUCACAGAUGAAUCAGGAGACCACACAGGCUGGAAGAUCCACUACACGAGCACAGCGCAGCCUUGUCCUUAUCCGAUGGCGCCACCUAAUGGCCACGUUUCACCUGUGCAAGCCAAAUACAUCCUGAAAGACAGCUUCUCCAUCUUUUGCGAGACUGGCUAUGAGCUUCUGCAA